GACGAACGCUGGCGGCGUGCUUAACACAUGCAAGUCGAACGGAAAGGCCCAGCUUGCUGGGUACUCGAGUGGCGAACGGGUGAGUAACACGUGGGUGAUCUGCCCUGCACUCUGGGAUAAGCCUGGGAAACUGGGUCUAAUACCGGAUAUGACCGACUGUCGCAUGGUGGUUGGUGGAAAGCUUUUGCGGUGUGGGAUGGGCCCGCGGCCUAUCAGCUUGUUGGUGGGGUAAUGGCCUACCAAGGCGACGACGGGUAGCCGACCUGAGAGGGUGAUCGGCCACACGGGGACUGAGACACGGCCCAUACUCCUACGGGAGGCAGCAGUGGGGAAUAUUGCACAAGGGGCGCAAGCAGGAUGCAUCGACGCCGCGUGAGGGAUGACGGCCUUCGGGUUGUAAACCUCUUUCACCAGGGACGAAGCGUGAGGGACGGUACCUGGAGAAGAAGCACCGGCCAACUACGU
rnacentral:rRNA from 1 species